CUAAAAUAACCGGGAUCGGGUUAGAGAGAAGUAUUAAUGAGAGAGACUACGAUGAUCCUGCAAUUAAAAAAAGUAACCGAAGGACCCCGAUAUCAUCAUCUAGAAAAAACAAAAACACGAAGUUUUGGAUCACAAAAAACUCGUUUGACCACAUAAAAUUAAACUCAAAUAAACCAGAAUUAUCGGAGUUAAUACCACCGGAUACCAAUAAAGUUCCCCGAAACUGGUGGUAUUUCAAUGAGGAUGAUUUAAGUCAACUCCAAGCCACACUGUGACCACCGUACGACGUAUAUUAAUUCGAUUUUUCAUGUAGUUGACUGUACAAAUAUUAGAACGAAUAUAUU